AUACGGAGGGGGCUAGCGUUGUUCGGAAUUACUGGGCGUAAAGCGCACGUAGGCGGAUUAAAAAGUUAGAGGUGAAAUCCCAGGGCUUAACCCUGGAACUGCCUUUAAAACUAGUAGUCUAGAGGUCGAGAGAGGUGAGUGGAAUUCCAAUUGUAGAGGUGAAAUUCGUAGAUAUUUGGAGGAACACCAGUGGCGAAGGCGGCUCACUGGCUCGGUACUGACGCUGAGGUGCGAAAGCGUGGGGAGCAAACAGGAUUAGAAACCCCGGUAGUCC
rnacentral:rRNA from 1 species